GCAGUCUGAAAAUCACUUGGGGUCUCCUGUGGCCCCUAGUGAGAUAACUGUGCCGACAGCAUCGGGAACAUUAAGCUUAUUACCCACGGCGAAGUGUGGGGAAUGAAACCCAUGUUCCUAUAGCC
rnacentral:snoRNA from 1 species